rnacentral:rRNA from 1 species
CCUACGGGAGGCAGCAGUCGAGAAUCAUUCACAAUGGGGGAAACCCUGAUGGUGCGACGCCGCGUGGGGGAAUGAAGGUCUUCGGAUUUUAAACCCCUGUCAUGUGGGAGCAAAUUAAAAAGAUCGUACCACAAGAGGAAGAGACGGCUAACUCUGUGCCAGCAGCCGCGGUAAUACAGCGGUCUCAAGCGUUGUUCGGAAUCACUGGGCGUAAAGCGUGCGUAGGCUGUUUCGUAAGUCGUGUGUGAAAGGCGCGGGCUCAACCCGCGGACGGCACAUGAUACUGCGAGACUAGAGUAAUGGAGGGGGAACCGGAAUUCUCGGUGUAGCAGUGAAAUGCGUAGAUAUCGAGAGGAACACUCGUGGCGAAGGCGGGUUCCUGGACAUUAACUGACGCUGAGGCACGAAGGCCAGGGGAGCGAAAGGGAUUAGAUACCCUAGUAGUC